rnacentral:rRNA from 1 species
AUGUCAAAUUCUUUUGAGAAAUUCGAUGCUAAUAUAAUAUCUUAUCCAAAUACAUCGGAGAUAGGGUGCAAAACACAAUGCAUAGCCGAAUGGGGAUAUUCCAAAUUUGAACCAUUCGUUUGCUUAACUCCAAAGCCGUUUGCACAUCAAGAUCGGCUAGAAAACAAGAAGUAUACCUUCAAUUCAAGGAUGUGUAAUCAAAUAUUUGAUUUGUUGCUGAAAAAUAAUUACAUUAGAGUUCUUGAUCACCAUGUGAAGCCAUCAAUCCAAGGACAAAUGUAUUGCAAGUUGCAUGAUUCGUCCAAACAUAAUUUUGAGGAUUGCAACAUGUUUCGUCAAAUAGUUAAAUUGACCAUUGAUAAAGGAUGA